rnacentral:lncRNA from 1 species
UCAGAAAGCCAGAUGGAUAGGAGAAAGGAUCAGGGAAUAUUACCAAAAUUUCAUGCUUUCUAAUCAGCUACCUAAUAUGGUGCCCCAAGACUGAGAGAUUGGGACUUGAAAUUGGACAUAAGACUCCAAAAGGAAACUUAGAAUAAGGUUCCUUAGUCUUAAAAGGUGAAUAUUUCCAAGAUAGUUAGCUUCCAAAAGUUUAGGAAAGCCCAACAAACCCCUCUUUUUGUUUUGCUUGUAGGGAAGAUGGAUAUUUCAUGGUAGACCAUGACUGAGGAGUUUUUUCUAAUAGCAUGGGAGUUAAGGUAUUCUCAGAGUGUCUUGGGAGACCAAAGAAGUACCAAGACUGGAGCCAAACACCAAAACUAGAAGAGUAAAGAGAGAGAAAAAAGAAGAUGAAGCACUCACCAGUCUGCGCAUGGAACCCCAGAUUUUUUUCCCAAGAAACUUUUUGUACUAAUCUUCAUGAAAUCCUCAGGCAAAGGGAAUCGGUCAUCCACAGUGAGGAGGUAGAAAUAGCAGGAAAAAAUUGGUGUCUUUUUAAAUACUAAACUGCAGUCACUCUCCUGUGUUAUUGAACGUUCCUGACCUCCUGGCUCCUAAGAGGCAGCAAGGCAUGUUGGCAUGGCUUCUCUAUUCACUUUAGCACAAAAGGAGUGCACAUUCCAAUGGUCUAAUUGGCAGUGCUCAACUUGUCAGGUAAGAUUUCCUCCCUCAAUGUUAUCCAGGUAAAGUGGGUCUGAGAAUCAAGAA